rnacentral:tRNA from 1 species
UCCCUGUUGGCUCAGACGGUAAAGCGUCUGCCUACAAUGUAGGAGACUCGGGUUCGAUUCCUGGGUCGGGAA